UUCCGGUUGAUCCCGCCGGAGGUUACUGCUAUCGGAGUUCGAUUAAGCCAUGCGAGUCUAAAGGUUUCUUCGGAAACCUUGGCGGACUGCUCAGUAACACGUGGAUAACCUACCCUUGGGACUGGAAUAACCCCGGGAAACUGGGGAUAAUACCGGAUAGAUCAUGGAUGCUGGAAUGCACCUUGAUCCAAAGCUCCGGCGCCCAAGGAUGGGUCUGCGGCCUAUCAGGUUGUAGUGGGUGUAACGUACCUACUAGCCGACGACGGGUACGGGUUGUGAGAGCAAGAGCCCGGAGAUGGAUUCUGAGACACGAAUCCAGGCCCUACGGGGUGCAGCAGGCGCGAAACCUUUACAAUGUGCGAAAGCAUGAUAAGGGAACUCCGAGUGCCAGUAUCUAAUACUGGCUGUCCUUGUGCCUAAAACGCACAAGAUAGCAAGGGCCGGGUAAGACCGGUGCCAGCCGCCGCGGUAACACCGGCGGCCCGAGUGGUAGCCGCUAUUAUUGGGUCUAAAGGGUCCGUAGCCGGUUCGAUAAGUCCUCUGGGAAAUCUGGUUGCUUAACAAUCAGACUGCCAAGGGAUACUGUCGAACUUGAGACCGGGAGAGGUAAGAGGUACUUCAGGGGUAGGAGUGAAAUCUUGUAAUCCCUGGGGGACCAUCUGUGGCGAAGGCGUCUUACCAGAACGGGUCUGACGGUGAGGGACGAAAGCUGGGGGCGCAAACCGGAUUAGAUACCCGGGUAGUCCCAGCCGUAAACGAUGCUCGCUAUGUGUCAGGUACGGUGUGACCGUAUCUGGUGCCGUAGGGAAGCCGUGAAGCGAGCCACCUGGGAAGUACGGUCGCAAGACUGAAACUUAAAGGAAUUGGCGGGGGAGCACUACAACGGGUGGAGCCUGCGGUUUAAUUGGAUUCAACGCCGGA
rnacentral:rRNA from 1 species